GCGGGUUUAGCUCAGUUGGGAGAGCGUCAGACUGAAGUCUCACUUCAAUCCAUCAAGAUUCCUUGAUAUCUGAAGGUCAUGUGUUCGAUCCACAUAAACCGCA